rnacentral:rRNA from 1 species
ACGCUCGACACCUACGGGAGGCAGCAGUGGGGAAUAUUGCACAAUGGGGGAAACCCUGAUGCAGCGACGCCGCGUGAGCGAAGAAGUAUUUCGGUAUGUAAAGCUCUAUCAGCAGGGAAGAAAGUGACGGUACCUGACUAAGAAGCCCCGGCUAACUACGUGCUAGCAGCCGCGGUAAUCUGAGCGGGCUGGCAAGGC